CAUGAAAUGAGCAGACAGGAAGCAAAAGGCCCUUUACCCACACCGACUCACAGGGCUUGGCUUUGCUCCAGGUUCUGCCUCUCUCUAGCCGCACAUUCGCCGGCACCCUAGAUAUUCAGCCUCGCACAUUGCUCUGGGCCUUGCAUCGAGACAUGUGAAGUUGGCCAUCAACGCCCAAUGUGAUACCAUGCAGUUUCUUGCCAUUCGGAGCUAGAAUUCUGUUGAGUGCUAUACUCAUCGAGGGGCUUUAGACCUUCCCUGCGAGGCUGACAUUCAUUCAGGCUUAGCAUAGAGGACUUCCUGGAAUUUGCAGAGGAAGUAAUGAGGAGUUGCCAGGUGACAAGUCAUCAUAAUGUGGCCCCCAACAUUUGAAGGCCACCUGAGAACACUCAUCUGGCGAUGGAUGGAGAUGGAGGCGGAGAACCACGUUGGA